rnacentral:ncRNA from 2 species
AGGAGCCGUGUGAGGUCGAAAGUCUCAAGCACGGUUCUGAAGACGAGUCAUGGUGGUGACAUCAUGGCUUAGUUUAAC